GAUGAUGCCAAAAACAUGAUGGAUGAAGGUUUGAUUGUUUUAAAUUCGUUUUAAAUCUCUUUCUACUUCCGUUUGAUGAAUUUUUUUCUACGUUAUUGUUCUAGUUUCUUCGCUUUCUUUGGUUGAGGGAGGCUCAAAUCAGAUCUACUAUUUUGUUAUAUAAAAAAAAAUCAGAUCUACUAUGUUUUUUAAGAUCUGUGAACAAUUAAUAUUAAAAUCUUUUUGUUUGGAUUAAUUUGAUUUUUUAUUUUGUUUGAUUCUUAUGUUGUUCAUUUUUUUUUAUAAAUCAUGUCUUUUAUUUUUUGUAUUUAUUUGAAGAUGAUCCGAAAUGCCUCAAGUGUGAGAGCUCUGUUUGUCUGUAGUAGAAACUUAAUCAGUAAUGGUUACUUAGAUGGGCGAUUUGGGUCAGGUGAAUAUACAAUUAUAUGUAGUCAUAUACAGUCAUAUAUGUAGUCAUGUAUAGUCAUGGAUACAUAUAACUAUACAUGACUAUAGAACUUGUAGUAUACUAUAGUCAUU
rnacentral:lncRNA from 1 species